ACUAUGACUCACACUUAUUUGUCUUUUUUCUUUUUUUCUUUUUACCUCUUCUGCUCUCUCCAUUAUGGGGAACCUGACUGGAGGUAAACACGCUCCUGUAGAAGUUCAGGACUCGGUGAUGAAGACUACACCAAAAAUAAAAGUUAGUCAUUCUGUUAAUGUAAAUCCAAAGGAUAGUCAUUUAAACUUUUUUUUUUUUUAUGUAAUGUUGUUCCCCUACGCUAAACAGUUUGUUCUUGUUCUCCCUCUUGCUACCUUAAUCAUGGUGAACAUGACUUGAGACACAGACGCUCCUGUAGAAGUUCAGGUCUCUACCUCGGUGGUAAAGACUACCGCAAAACCAGCAGCACAACUAAAGUUUAGUCUCGCUGUUCAAGAACAAGGAAAUCUAAAGGCUAGUCACCUGAACCUUUAAUAAAAAUGUCAUGUCUUGUCUUACCUCUCUUGCUACCUCAAUCACGGUGUCCCUGUCUUGAGGCACAGAAGCUCCUGUACAAGUUCAGGUCUCUAGGUUGGUGGUAACCACUACAACAAAACUAAAUGUUAGUCGCUCUGGUAAAAUUACAAAGAAAUUGAAAGGCAAUGAACUUGAACUUUGUACAAAAGUCAUGCCACUCCACUGUGCUAAAAACCUGUGUCUUUUCUGCUCUCUCCAUUAUGGGGAACCUGACUGGAGGUAAACACGCUCCUGUACAAGUUCAGGACUCUGUGAUGUAGACUACGGCAAAAAUAAAGUGUCCCUGUCUUGAGGAACAGAAGCUCCUGUACAAGUUCAGAACUUGGUGAUGAAGACUACGGCAAAACCACCGGCAAAAAUGAAGAUUAGUCACUCUGUUCAAGGAAAUGUAAAGGAUAGUCACUUGAACCUUUAAUAAAAGUGUCAUGUUGUUCCACUCGGCUAAAUAGUUUUGUCUUUUCUUAUUU
ensembl:lncRNA